rnacentral:misc_RNA from 1 species
GAUGAAGAACGUAGCGAAAUGCGAUAAGUAGUGUGAAUUGCAGAAUUCAGUGAAUCAUCGAAUCUUUGAACGCACAUUGCGCCCCUUGGUAUUCCAUGGGGCAUGCCUGUCCGAGCGUCAUUACAACCCUCAAGCUCAGCUUGGUGUUGGGCCCCGCCGCCCCGGCGGGCCCUAAAGUCAGUGGCGGUGCCGUCCGGCUCCGAGCGUAGUAAUUCUUCUCGCUCUGGAGGUCCGGUCGUGUGCUCGCCAGCAACCCCCAAUUUUUUUCAGGUUGACCUCGGAUCAGGUAGGGAUACCCGCUGAACUUAAGCAUAUCAAUAAGCGGAGGA